CAAAAAAAAAUUCUCUCAUUUUUUUUUUCCCCGAUCUGGCGAUUUGUCCGACGAAAUCGGAAGCAAACGGAGGACGAGGAUAGAGCUCGGACUCCUCGAUCCGGUGUGACCUUCAUCUCCACCGACGCUGGUCACAACUGGCGAGUUUGAAGAAGCAAAUCGGCGGUUUUAGGAUUCUGUGUUCUAAGUUAAAUUGGGGUUAAUGGAAGGAGAUUGUUGUUGCCGCCGUUCGUGGAUUCAACGGUAAACUCAAAUUUUUCAGGAAUUAAUUCACUCUAAAAUAUGUUUUAGUGGAUGAAGAGUAAAAGACCAAAUGUUGGUUAAACAUUUCACUUGUAACUUGUAACACAAACAACUUUUAACAUUUUUUGAAAAUUUAAAUUUUUUAGAUCUUCACUUUUUGGACUUGACCAUUGGACUGUCUCAAGAUAAAUAACACUCAAAGUGGCUAAAUUUUUUAUUUUCCAUUAUUUAAAUUAUAAAUCUUGUUUGGAUCCCAAUUUUUGGAUCCAACCAU